UACGUAGGGUCCGAGCGUUGUCCGGAAUUAUUGGGCGUAAAGAGCUCGUAGGCGGCUUGUCGCGUCGUUCGUGAAAACUCACAGCUCAACUGUGAGCUUGCGGUCGAUACGGGCAGGCUAGAGUUCGGUAGGGGAGACUGGAAUUCCUGGUGUAGCGGUGAAAUGCGCAGAUAUCUGGAGGAACACCGGUGGCGAAGGCGGCGUUCUGGACUGCUACUGACACUGAGGAACGAAAGCCAGGGGAGCAAACGGG
rnacentral:rRNA from 1 species